rnacentral:rRNA from 1 species
GUGGGGAAUAUUGCGCAAUGGGGGAAACCCUGACGCAGCGACGCCGUGUGAGGGAAGAAGGCUUUCGGGUCGUAAACCUCUGUCAGAAAGGAAGAACCUCCCAAGUCCGAAUAGGGCUUGGGACUGACGGUACUUUCAAAGGAAGCACCGGCUAACUCCGUGCCAGCAGCCGCGGUAAUACGGAGGGUGCAAGCGUUAAUCGGAAUCACUGGGCGUAAAGCGCGCGUAGGCCGCUUUGUAAGUCGGACGUAAAAGCCCUCGGCGCAACCGGGGAACUGCGUUCGAUACUGCGAGGCUUGAGUCCUGGAGAGGGUGGCGGAAUGCCGGGUGUAGGAGUGAAAUCCGUAGAUAUCCGGAGGAACACCGGUGGCGAAGGCGGCCACCUGGACAGGUACUGACGCUGAGGCGCGAAAGCGUGGGGAGCAAACAGGAUUAGAAACCCUAGUAGUCC